rfam:TPA: Bos taurus chromosome 27, whole genome shotgun sequence.
ACCCUGAUGGCUCAGUUGGUAAAGAAUCUGCCUGCAAUGCAGGUGACCCCGGUUUGAUUCCUGGUCAGGAAG